ACGGGAGGCAGCAGUGAGGGAUAUUCGGCAAUGGGGGAAACCCUGACCGAGCAACGCCGCGUGGAGGAUGACGGUUUUCGGAUUGUAAACUCCUGUCCUCUGUGAAGAUAAUGACGGUAGCAGAGGAGGAAGCUCCGGCUAACUACGUGCCAGCAGCCGCGGUAAUACGUAGGGAGCGAGCGUUGUCCGGAUUUACUGGGUGUAAAGGGUGCGUAGACGGCUAAGCAAGUCAGAGGUGAAAUCCAUGGGCUCAACCCAUGAACUGCCUUUGAAACUGCUUUGCUUGAGUGAUGUAGAGGCAGGCGGAAUUCCCGGUGUAGCGGUGGAAUGCGUAGAGAUCGGGAGGAACACCAGUGGCGAAGGCGGCCUGCUGGGCAUUAACUGACGUUGAGGCACGAAAGCGUGGGUAGCAAACAGGAUUAGAUACCCUGGUA
rnacentral:rRNA from 2 species